GACGAACGCUGGCGGCGUGCUUAACACAUGCAAGUCGAACGGUGAAGGGGCCUGCUUUUGUGGGUCCUGGAUGAGUGGCGAACGGGUGAGUAACACGUGAGUAACUUGCCCCCUUCUUCUGGAUAACCGCAUGAAAGUGUGGCUAAUACGGGAUAUUCUGGGUCUGUCGCAUGGUGGGCCUGGGAAAGAUUGCGCCUUUUUGGGUGUUUUUGGUGGGGGAUGGGCUCGCGGCCUAUCAGCUUGUUGGUGGGGUGAUGGCCUACCAAGGCGGUGACGGGUAGCCGGCCUGAGAGGGUGGACGGUCACACUGGGACUGAGACACGGCCCAGACUCCUACGGGAGGCAGCAGUGGGGAAUAUUGCACAAUGGGCGCAAGCCUGAUGCAGCGACGCCGCGUGAGGGAUGGAGGCCUUCGGGUUGUGAACCUCUUUCGCCAGUGAAGCAGGCCUGCUCCUGUGUGGGUGGGUUGACGGUAGCUGGAUAAGAAGCGCCGGCUAACUACGUGCCAGCAGCCGCGGUAAUACGUAGGGCGCGAGCGUUGUCCGGAAUUAUUGGGCGUAAAGAGCUCGUAGGCGGCUGGUCGCGUCUGUCGUGAAAUCCUCUGGCUUAACUGGGGGCUUGCGGUGGGUACGGGCCGGCUUGAGUGCGGUAGGGGAGGCUGGAACUCCUGGUGUAGCGGUGGAAUGCGCAGAUAUCAGGAAGAACACCGGUGGCGAAGGCGGGUCUCUGGGCCGUUACUGACGCUGAGGAGCGAAAGCGUGGGGAGCGAACAGGAUUAGAUACCCUGGUAGUCCACGCCGUAAACGUUGGGCACUAGGUGUGGGGGGCCUUUUCCGGGUUUUCCGCGCCGUAGCUAACGCAUUAAGUGCCCCGCCUGGGGAGUACGGCCGCAAGGCUAAAACUCAAAGGAAUUGACGGGGGCCCGCACAAGCGGCGGAGCAUGCGGAUUAAUUCGAUGCAACGCGAAGAACCUUACCAAGGCUUGACAUGUGCCGGAUGGCUCCGGAGACGGGGUUUCCUCUCUUUUUUUUGGGGGGCUGGUUCACAGGUGGUGCAUGGUUGUCGUCAGCUCGUGUCGUGAGAUGUUGGGUUAAGUCCCGCAACGAGCGCAACCCUUGUCUCGUGUUGCCAGCACGUUGUGGUGGGGACUCGCGGGAGACUGCCGGGGUCAACUCGGAGGAAGGUGGGGAUGACGUCAAAUCAUCAUGCCCCUUAUGUCUUGGGCUUCACGCAUGCUACAAUGGCCGGUACAGAGGGCUGCGAUACCGUGAGGUGGAGCGAAUCCCUUAAAGCCGGUCUCAGUUCGGAUCGGUGUCUGCAACUCGACACCGUGAAGUUGGAGUCGCUAGUAAUCGCAGAUCAGCAACGCUGCGGUGAAUACGUUCUCGGGCCUUGUACACACCGCCCGUCACGUCAUGAAAGUCGGCAACACCCGAAGCCCGUGGCCCUACGGGGAGCGGUCGAAGGUGG
rnacentral:rRNA from 1 species